GCUUAACGCGAAGAACCUUACCUACUCUUGANCAUCCAGAGAACUUGGCAGAGAUGCUUUGGUGCCUUCGGGAACUCUGAGACAGGUGCUGCAUGGCUGUCGUCAGCUCGUGUUGUGAAAUGUUGGGUUAAGUCCCGCAACGAGCGCAACCCUUAUCCUUUGUUGCCAGCGGUUAGGCCGGGAACUCAAAGGAGACUGCCAGUGAUAAACUGGAGGAAGGUGGGGAUGACGUCAAGUCAUCAUGGCCCUUACGAGUAGGGCUACACACGUGCUACAAUGGCGCAUACAAAGAGAAGCGACCUCGCGAGAGCAAGCGGACCUCAUAAAGUGCGUCGUAGUCCGGAUUGGAGUCUGCAACUCGACUCCAUGAAGUCGGAAUCGCUAGUAAUCGUGGAUCAGAAUGCCACGGUGAAUACGUUCCCGGGUCUUGUACACACCG
rnacentral:rRNA from 1 species